rnacentral:lncRNA from 1 species
CUCUCGCUGGCAUCUCUCUGGCUCUGCGCGCCCGGCGCUCGCUCGCUGCCUAAAGAUGUAAACAAUAGAGCACGCUCUGCGCUUUGGCGCGCCGGAGCUCUGGCUCCUAAAAAUAUUGAGGGGCUUUCGUUUCUGGGGCUGGGCGCUGGGCACUUGCUCUCCUGGCUCCCAAAGAUGUUAGCAAUAAAGUUUUGCCGCAGAAGAUUUUGGUCUGUUUCCUGGCCGGUCGUGAGAACGCGUCUAAUAACAAUUGGUGCCGAAUUCCGGGACGAGAAAACCGGCGCAGGGAAGAUCCCUCAUUCCAGAACCAGAACUGCGGGUCGCGGUAAUAAAGGUUCCCGUAAAGCAGACUGUUAAGAAGGAUUCAACUGCAUGAAUUCAGAACUUUUCAGCUGGGGAACGGCGGUAACCCGUAAGUAUAGCUUUACGAGGUAAGCCUGGCCUUGAACUUUCUAAGGAAAUUCAAGACAGUCUAUCAGAAGUAAAGUGGAAAAUAGCUUUAUAAGGUAUGUUUGGCCUUGAACUUUCUCUAGUGUUAGAAGCCCUUUUGUUCCUUUUCACAUGUUAUCAAGUGGUUAAGGCAGGGCGGAUUCUGGAUGAAGUUCAGGACAAUCUAUCAGAAGUAAAGCGGGGAGAGAGAAUAGGAGCAAAGAGAAAAUAUGGUACACAAAAUAAGUAUACAGGCCUUUCCAAGGGUCUUGAACCUGAGGAAAAGUUUAGGUCAGGUAAGAAUACCUGGGGAGAGAUUAGAAGGAAGGAG